GACGAACGCUGGCGGCGUGCUUAACACAUGCAAGUCGAACGGAAAGGCCCUGCUUUUGUGGGGUGCUCGAGUGGCGAACGGGUGAGUAACACGUGAGUAACCUGCCCUUGACUUUGGGAUAACUUCAGGAAACUGGGGCUAAUACCGGAUAGGAGCUCCUGCUGCAUGGUGGGGGUUGGAAAGUUUCGGCGGUAGGGGAUGGACUCGCGGCUUAUCAGCUUGUUGGUGGGGUAGUGGCUUACCAAGGCUUUGACGGGUCGCCGGCCUGAGAGGGGGGACGGCCACAUUGGGACUGAGGUACGGCCCAGACUCCUACGGGGGGCAGCAGUGGGGAAUAUUGCACAAUGGGCGGAAGCCUGAUGCAGCAACGCCGCGUGCGGGAUGACGGCCUUCGGGUUGUAAACCGCUUUCGCCUGUGACGAAGCGUGAGUGACGGUAAUGGGUAAAGAAGCACCGGCUAACUACGUG
rnacentral:rRNA from 1 species